rnacentral:tRNA from 1 species
AGCACCGUAGUGUAAAGAGCACGUAAGAUUGCAAAUCCUCCAGAGCCACUUCUUUUUGGCCGGGGCUU